UACGUAGGGCGCAAGCGUUAUCCGGAAUUAUUGGGCGUAAAGAGCUCGUAGGCGGUUCGUCGCGUCUGCCGUGAAAGUCCGGGGCUCAACUCCGGAUCUGCGGUGGGUACGGGCAGACUAGAGUGAUGUAGGGGAGACUGGAAUUCCUGGUGUAGCGGUGAAAUGCGCAGAUAUCAGGAGGAACACCGAUGGCGAAGGCAGGUCUCUGGGCAUUAACUGACGCUGAGGACGACGAAGCGUGGGUAGCAACAGG
rnacentral:rRNA from 1 species